rnacentral:misc_RNA from 1 species
GAUGAAGAACGCAGCGAAAUGCGAUACGUAAUGUGAAUUGCAGAAUUCAGUGAAUCAUCGAGUCUUUGAACGCACAUUGCGCCCCCUGGUAUUCCGGGGGGCAUGCCUGUCCGAGCGUCAUUGCUGCCCUCAAGCACGGCUUGUGUGUUGGGCCUCCGUCCUCCUCCCGGGGGACGGGCCCGAAAGGCAGCGGCGGCACCGCGUCCGGUCCUCGAGCGUAUGGGGCUUCGUCACCCGCUCUUGUAGGCCCGGCCGGCGCUUGCCGACACAUCAAUCUUUUUUCCAGGUUGACCUCGGAUCAGGUAGGGAUACCCGCUGAACUUAAGCAUAUCAAUAAGCGGAGCA